UCUAUGGAGAGGACGCUGCAGAGGAUCUAGACGACGUGACGUAUGCAGUCGUCGUCACAAAACCCAGAAAAAACAAAGAUGAUGAUGAUGAAUCCUCAUUUCAACCUGUUUACUAUACUUUGACGAUGAGUAAAACUCCACAUGAUCUCCAACAGGAAUCCGGAUUAUUAAACUCCGCAGCGACUCCGAGGUCCACAGCAGCCGAACACUCAGAGCAGGAACCUCUCUACGCUCCGGUCCUGAAGGUAAUGACACUCACAGCAGCAACUUCCUCUUAAUCUCACUAAUCACUCUUUUAUAAGUGAUGUUGAACUCUCCACACUACAGCUGUAUGUAUGCUCCUUUAAAUGUCAAAAAUCAGCCAAGAACACAAAAUGUAUUAGUUACGGUGUGGUACAGGACACUGGUCCAGACUUUAGUUGACAGAGAUGAGGGAGUUAAAAACUAGGGUUGAUCCACUGCAGCGUUGAUGAGUAGACAAGUUGCAGGUGUGCA